rnacentral:rRNA from 1 species
AUUGAACGCUGGCGGCAUGCUUUACACAUGCAAGUCGAACGGCAGCGCGGGCUUCGGCCUGGCGGCGAGUGGCGAACGGGUGAGUAAUACAUCGGAACGUGCCCAGUAGUGGGGGAUAGCUCGGCGAAAGCCGGAUUAAUACCGCAUACGACCUGAGGGUGAAAGCGGGGGAUCUUCGGACCUCGCGCUAUUGGAGCGGCCGAUGGCAGAUUAGCUAGUUGGUGGGGUAAAGGCCUACCAAGGCGACGAUCUGUAGCUGGUCUGAGAGGACGACCAGCCACACUGGGACUGAGACACGGCCCAGACUCCUACGGGAGGCAGCAGUGGGGAAUUUUGGACAAUGGGCGAAAGCCUGAUCCAGCAAUGCCGCGUGUGUGAUGAAGGCCUUCGGGUUGUAAAGCACUUUUGGCGGGAACGAAAAGGACUGUGCCAAUACCACGGUUCGAUGACGGUACCCGCAGAAUAAGCCCCGGCUAACUACGUG